rnacentral:rRNA from 1 species
UACGUAGGUCCCGAGCGUUGUCCGGAUUUAUUGGGCGUAAAGCGAGCGCAGGUGGUUUAUUAAGUCUGGUGUAAAAGGCAGUGGCUCAACCAUUGUAUGCAUUGGAAACUGGAAGUCUAGAGUGCAGGAGAGGAGAAUGGAAUUCCUAGUGUAGCGGUGAAAUGCGUAGAGAUUAGGAAGAACACCAGUGGCGAAGGCGAUUCUCUGGACUGUAACUGACGCUGAGGCUCGAAAGCGUGGGGAGCAAACAGG